rnacentral:rRNA from 1 species
GGUUAAGCGACUAAGCGUACACGGUGGAUGCCCUGGCAGUCAGAGGCGAUGAAGGACGUGCUAAUCUGCGAAAAGCGUCGGUAAGGUGAUAUGAACCGUUAUAACCGGCGAUGUCCGAAUGGGGAAACCCAGUGUGAUUCGUCACACUAUCGUUAACUGAAUACAUAGGUUAACGAGGCGAACCGGGGGAACUGAAACAUCUAAGUACCCCGAGGAAAAGAAAUCAACCGAGAUUCCCCCAGUAGCGGCGAGCGA